AUCUCGGUGCUUGCACCGGGUGAUCAGUGGCGAACGGGUGAGUAACACGUGAGCAACCUGCCCCCGACCCUGGGAUAACCCCGAGAAAUCGGAGCUAAUACCGGAUACGAGACGCACAGGCAUCUGUAGCGUCUGGAAAGAUUCAUCGGUCAGGGAUGGGCUCGCGGCCUAUCAGCUAGUUGGUGAGGUAGUGGCUCACCAAGGCGACGACGGGUAGCCGGCCUGAGAGGGCGACCGGCCACACUGGGACUGAGACACGGCCCAGACUCCUACGGGAGGCAGCAGUGGGGAAUAUUGCACAAUGGGCGCAAGCCUGAUGCAGCGACGCCGCGUGGGGGAUGAAGGCCUUCGGGUUGUAAACCCCUUUCAGCAGGGAAGAAGCGAAAGUGACGGUACCUGCAGAAGAAGCGCCGGUUAACUACGUGCCAGCAGCCGCGGUAAUACGUAGGGCGCAAGCGUUGUCCGGAUUUAUUGGGCGUAAAGAGCUCGUAGGCGGUUUGUCGCGUCUGCUGUGAAAACCCGAGGCUCAACCUCGGGCCUGCAGUGGGUACGGGCAGACUAGAGUGCGGUAGGGGAGACUGGAAUUCCUGGUGUAGCGGUGGAAUGCGCAGAUAUCAGGAGGAACACCGAUGGCGAAGGCAGGUCUCUGGGCCGCAACUGACGCUGAGGAGCGAAAGCAUGGGGAGCGAACAGGAUUAGAUACCCUGGUAGUCCAUGCCGUAAACGUUGGGCACUAGGUGUGGGGCUCAUUCCACGAGUUCCGUGCCGCAGCAAACGCAUUAAGUGCCCCGCCUGGGGAGUACG
rnacentral:rRNA from 1 species